rnacentral:rRNA from 1 species
GUGCCAGCAGCCGCGGUAAGACGUAGGGCGCAAGCGUUGUCCGGAUUUAUUGGGCGUAAAGAGCUCGUAGGCGGCCUGUCGCGUCGACUGUGAAAACUCACGGCUUAACCGUGGGACUGCAGUCGAUACGGGCAGGCUAGAGUUCGGUAGGGGAGACUGGAAUUCCUGGUGUAGCGGUGAAAUGCGCAGAUAUCAGGAGGAACACCGGUGGCGAAGGCGGGUCUCUGGGCCGAUACUGACGCUGAGGAGCGAAAGCGUGGGGAGCGAACAGGAUUAGAAACCCUUGUAGUCC